rnacentral:rRNA from 2 species
AAUAGGGCGGUACCUUGAGCCGGUACCCUAACCAGGAAAGGCACGCUAACUACAUGCCAGGCAGGCCGCGGUAUACGUAGGUGGCAAGCGUUGUCCGGAAUUAUUGGGCGUAAAAGCGCGCGCAGGCGGUUUCUUAAGUCUGAUGUGAAAUUCUUGCGGCUCAACCGCAAGCGGCCAUUGGAAACUGGGAGACUUGAGUGCAGAAGAGGAGAGUGGAAUUCCACGUGUAGCGGUGAAAUGCGUAGAGAUGUGGAGGAACACCAGUGGCGAAGGCGACUCUCUGGUCUGUAACUGACGCUGAGGCGCGAAAGCGUGGGGAGCGAACAGGAUUAGAUACCCUGGUAGUCCACGCCGUAAACGAUGAGUGCUAAGUGUUAGAGGGUUUCCGCCCUUUAGUGCUGCAGCUAACGCAUUAAGCACUCCGCCUGGGGAGUACGGCCGCAAGGCUGAAACUCAAAGGAAUUGACGGGGGCCCGCACAAGCGGUGGAGCAUGUGGUUUAAUUCGAAGCAACGCGAAGAACCUUACCAGGUCUUGACAUCCUCUUGACCUCCCUAGAGAUAGGGAUUUCCCUUCGGGGACAAGAGUGACAGGUGGUGCAUGGUUGUCGUCAGCUCGUGUCGUGAGAUGUUGGGUUAAGUCCCGCAACGAGCGCAACCCUUGACCUUAGUUGCCAGCAUUCAGUUGGGCACUCUAAGGUGACUGCCGGUGACAAACCGGAGGAAGGUGGGGAUGACGUCAAAUCAUCAUGCCCCUUAUGACCUGGGCUACACAGUGCUACAAUGGAUGGUACAAAGGGCUGCAAGACCGCGAGGUUUAGCCAAUCCCAUAAAACCAUUCUCAGUUCGGAUUGUAGGCUGCAACUCGCCUACAUGAAGCCGGAAUCGCUAGUAAUCGCGGAUCAGCAUGCCGCGGUGAAUACGUUCCCGGGCCUUGUACACACCGCCCGUCACACCACGAGAGUUUGUAACACCCGAAGUCGGUGAGGUAACCUUUUGGAGCCAGCCGUCCGAA